rnacentral:lncRNA from 13 species
AUGGGGAAACCCUACUCCAUGGUCCUACUCCUGUCACUGUCCCCCACUGACCACAUUAUUCUGAGGGCACCAGAUAACCUUCCCCAGCUGCAAACACACAUUUGUGGAUUCCCAUGCUAAAUUUCUGGAGUAUGGAAGACAGGAGGUCAUCUCAAUACCUCGAUGAGAGCACCCAUGUGGUCUGCACUGCCUUGGAGCGGGGUGAGAGGGGAGGAUGGGGGCAGCACUCCUGCCCUCCUACUGUGCUGGUUGGCAGAGGAAAUGGAGAGCUGCAUUUGUUGGAGGGCCCUCACGUUGCACCAGUAAGAGAAAUAAAGGGGCAACCAAUGUCACCACUGCCACAUUAAUUUUUACAGGCCACAGCAGUAGUGACAGAGCAAUGCAGAGUUUUUUAUGUCUGCAGCCAGCAGAAUCUAAAAGGACACCUCUGUUUCCCUUCCUGACUACCAUCAUUGUGAGCCCUGAGGCAGCAGGAGCCACCAUGGAAGGGAUGCCUGUGGCGAGCAGCGGGUUAUGCUAACAGUUUUAUAACCUGCUGAGGAGGACGGCAGGGAGGGGAACACAAACUUCCACUCCAAAUCAGACACCCCCUUAAUUUUAUGCUUUCUCUGGACAUACAGUAGCACAGCUACUCAGAAAAUCCAGACCUGGCCUCCUGCCCAUUGUUCAAGCCGUUUAAUUUGUUUUCAUGAUGGGAAAGUGAACAACAUGUCCAUGAGGUAACACCAAUGUCUUGUCAUCUACUGACUGCACCUCCUCCACUUCAAGUUCUUACUCCUGUUCUUGCGUAUGUACCACAUACUUUUCGUCACUGUAAAAUGGUCUGUGAAGUCCGAUUAGAACAAUUCUCAUUUGUAAGGGGAAAAGCAGAGAACUCCAAAAAAAACCUCCUGUGCUAUGUCUGACUCCUCUUCCGAGAAGAAAGCAGAGACUGGGAAAAGCAACAGCAAGAGAAACAGAAAAAAGAAAUUGACAACCAUACAGAAGCAGGAAUGGCAAUGGGUAGCUUUGGGAAAUUUUAGCUUUUCCUUUGUCCUUUUAUUUUUGUGGGAGACCUCUAUCCCUAAAAUCCAUGAAAUAUUAACCAUGACAUCUGCUGAAAAAUCAAGAAUGAAAAAUGUAAUGCUGCAAACAACGCAAUGACCAGAGAACACACCUAAACAAUUCUCUCGGAAAACACCAGAGUGCACUACUGUGUAGCUGUAGUCAAUUCAGACUAUGUUGCUUUAAACUUUGUCCAGUUGAUCUUGAAAAGCUCCACAGAUGGAGAUUCCAGAGCUGCUCCGAGGAACCCACUUCUGUGUUUAUCCUCCUUAAUGUUCUCCCUUUCACUUAGUCAGAACCUCACCUCUAUCAGUUUUUGGCCAGGAUCUCUUCUCCUAUCACAUACAUCAGUGAAGAGCCUGGCUCUGUAUUCUCUAUGGCUUUCUCAUAUGGAUUGAGGGUCAACUAUUAGGUUCCCUCCCCAAGUCUUCUCCAGGCUGAACAAAACCCAUUCCCUUGGCCUUUUCUCACAGGAGGGUGCUCCAGUCCUGACCAUCUCGAUAGCUCUCCAUUAGACUCACUCUAGUCUUUUUUGGGUCUUAACUAUGUGUGUCAAAUUCACAGGUUCUCCAAAUGCUUCAUUUUGCUUUUCUUGGAGGCUUCCCUUAUCAAAAUAGCAAAUACUUGUGAUGCUUCUAUGGCAACCUAAACAUGAGGAUUCUGAGGCAGGCGGACACCUCACACUGCACUGAAUUAUCAGCAGAAGUAGCAGGCCUGGGUAUCAAUGGUCUCACCUGCAGGAAUCCAGACAAACUUUUUUGUCUGCUGUUCCUCUGUCAGGAAAAUAAAGACAAAUUCCACCUCCACUUGGAUGGACUUCCUGAGGUACUUACAUAUACAGGACUAACUAGUUUACCUCAAAGGAACUAACAGCAGGUCUCAUUCAUUCAUGAGGUAUCUCAAGAUUUCACUAAACCCACCACAAACACUUCUCAAUUCAUCCUUUCAUUAAUGAAUAGCACUUUCAUACUCAGAAGGAAACGGAACUGUCACUACUGUAAAUUUCUGGUGCUAAACACAAUUAAAUGGUAAUGUAGCCAAAACAGUCAUGGUGCUCUUACACUGAAGUGGGGUAUUUCAGUUAACAUCCAAUUUUUAAAUAUUUUGAAAGUGACCAUUAUAUUUAACUGACUUGCUCAGGGUGCAUAGCAUUGCCUAAUGAAAUGCAAUCCAUGGCAUGCAUCACCUUGGUCCCAAAAUCUUCACCUCUUUCUAAAAUGUGGUGCUUAACUAUGAUCCGGAGUAUGUUACAAAAAGCAUUUCAUUAAAGGGGGGCCAUUGGUGCAAGACUUUGAUUUCUGCUUUCAACGGUGAAACUUCAGGGGGUCCUUCCAGGCAGCACAGUACAGGGAGCCCUUUGCAGCACAGCUCUACUCUACUGAAAUGAGAUACAAGCUCCCUGGGAAACAGCAUGCUAGCAUGUGUGACAUUUGUCCUCUGCUGAGCAGAAUUAGUGAUUGCCACGAAUUUUAGACUGUAUCAAGAAUUCUACAAAGCAUCACACAACUCUGCCGCCUCCUGAGCUGACUGCAUACACAUAGAAAAGGCCAUAAAGGCAUAAAGGGGAAAAUGUUCUUCUGGUGAACUGAUGAAACCUCCUUUUUUCUCCUGCUAGCAGUAUGGUGGGCAACCGAUUCUCCCAGACUUCUGCCAGUGCAAGGCAUUAUCUCAUUUUUGAGGUCAUUACUGCUGUAGUGGAUACUACUGCAAAACACUCACUCUGCAGAGUGGAUUUUGCAUCGUUUGUAACAGGAGUUUUAAAAUAUUUAAAAGCACACCUCAAGAAAACCCACAACCUCCCCUGAACAUUGCAAACAGUUCCCUAAUAUCACUUGGAUGCAUUCUGCAUGUUUGCAAAUCAGACAAUUAUAUUAAUUUCUAUGACAGUAUUAGGUGAGUACGUGUAUUACUACAUUUUUUAUUCACAGCACAAGAGCCUGGUAAUAGCAAUUGAGAUCACAAAUGAAAACUAACCACAUUGGAUUCAUGGCAGAGAAAAAUACAGCUUACACAUUUUAUUAGCAUUCAAAUUACAUUUCUGCCUUGUACAUACGAUCUUCUGCACUGAUCCUGCAUUCGUGACUUGCUAUUCUUUUCCAUAUCUUACUAUUCUUUUCCAUAUCUUUCAAGGGGUUUGAAGAAAAUUAUUUCAAGUUUUUUGGUACAAGGCACAAAGUUUAAUGACUGGACAGUCAUGAUCUGGAAUUGUGUAGUGAGAAUUACAAAUCUGUGAGUAAAGAUGGAGAAGUACUUCAGUGAACAAUAUCUUGCAGAAACUUUGCAAGGCAAACACAGAGCACUAUUAAAUUCUACAGUAUGAAGUUUUUCCAGUUACAUCCCUGCUGCAAAGCUCACUUGGGAACAAAAGGGAUCAUUGUUAAAUAAUAAUCUGAACACAAUUGUGUUGUAAUCUGACAACAGGCCAUUAGGUCUUGUUUUGUGUUUUGAGGAGAUUUAGGCAAGUGCCCAAGUUGCCAAGGGAGUUACUUUUCCGAAUAUCUACUGAAACCAAACAUUAAUAGUGCCACUAACAGGUCCAGUAACACUGAAAUCUGCAGCUGCAACACUGGUGAACACUUUUGAUUUGCUAUGUUCUGAAAUGUAUUACUACAUUACUCUCUUAUUUCUACUUUUUUUUUUCCUGCUGGCUGAAACUCAUUAUUGUAAUAUAAACCUCGUAACAUUGAAAAUAUUAAUAUUCAUGAAAACCUGUUCACAGUGGGAAAGCAAUGACUCAGACCUGUAACUUCUCUUACACAUUCUACCAACAAUCUCUUAAGAAACAAGUGACAACAAAUACUGUGACUUUAUACAAACAGCACCAGCUAAAAUUUCAAGAAAGCACACCAAGUACCUUUUCAAAAACCUUAUUUUUAUUGUUUGCACUAACUGUAUCAUCAUUAACAGCUUUCAACUCUAACAAACUGAAGCAAGUCAGUACACACAAAUACCUAUGCAAGGUCAAGCAGCUCCUUGGUUACAUAAAUGCCUUGGUGUGUAACACGCCUAGGGGCAGUUAGUUCAUACUAACACUUUAAGCACAGUCACUCCAGUUUCAAGCAUUUUUCAGUGCUGUUAAAAUGUUUCAUUUUUUCUUUAAAAAGGAAACAGCAAAAAGAUUUAUAGAAAUUACUCAUUUUUAAACCAAAAUUAUUAUUUCUAAAUUAUUAAAAUGCAGCAAGGACCAUUCUUCAGCAGUAGUAACUUUGCUCUGCAAAACAAAAACAAAAAAAUGAAAACAAAACAAGAGAAAACAAUCAGUCACUUUGCUGUACUAGGCAUAAAUUAUCCUUAGCAGCCUAAACGUUUGCCAGCUCAUACUGUAUAUAUUCCAAUUUCUUUCAAGUUUGCCAGGUUCACUCACCAGCUCCUGGCUUUCUGAGUUGGAAUGGAAGGGGUAUAAAACUUAUCACUUCUGCAAUAAAGGGCUUUGCUUUUUUAAAUGCUGGCUGAAAACCUGAGACUUAUCAGACAAGUGCCUGAAUGUGAUCUCCUAUCACCUCUACAGUAACAGACUCACAAACCAAGACAGUCCACUUGGGUUUACUCAUUUCUGCAAGGGGUUUAUGAACUAAUUUUUUAAAUUAAAAUAUUUAAUUAUUAACUAGCAGUUUUGAUGGAUAAGCUUUGUUUUCUCAGUUUUGGAAUGUAGUUUGUUCCAACUGAUACAUUUGGCUGGAUCUGAUGCAUUUGUUAUUUAUCUUACUUCCCUGUUGUAAAUCCAGAAGUCAGCACAAGAGGGAAGGAGUGACAGAAGGCAAAAAAUCAGCCCAAUUCCAACAGUUAGAACUGAAAUACUGUAAGAUUAACAACAGAUUAGGCAAACAUCUCAGUACAUACUGAAGACCUCACAGGAGGCUGUAAGGGAGUCCUGAACCAAUACAGAUCACUGGAAAUUUAAGCUGCCUAGCCCCUCAAAAGCCACAAAACAGGCUUUGUAAUGUUAGAUUUUAGCAAGUGAGGUUAGCACCUCCCCGUCCACAUCCCUGAGAGGCGCCCAAAAUCAAAACACAAUAGAAUUACUCUUAGGUAUAUUCUACUG